UCCAGACUCCUACGGGAGGCAGCAGUGAGGAAUAUUGGUCAAUGGCCGUAAGGCUGAACCAGCCAAGUAGCGUGAGGGAAGACUGCCCUAUGGGUUGUAAACCUCUUUUAUGCGGGGAUAAAGGUGUCCACGUGUGGAUGUUUGCAGGUACCGCAUGAAUAAGGACCGGCUAAUUCCGUGCCAGCAGCCGCGGUAAUACGGAGGAUGCGAGCGUUAUCCGGAUUUAUUGGGUUUAAAGGGUGCGUAGGCGGGCUUUUAAGUCAGCGGUAAAAAUUCGGGGCUCAACCCCGUCCGGUCGUUGAAACUGGGGGCCCUGAGUGGGCGAGAAGAAGGCGGAAUGCGUGGUGUAGCGGUGAAAUGCAUAGAUAUCACGCAGAACCCCGAUUGCGAAGGCAGCCUUCCGGCGCCCUACUGACGCUGAGGCACGAAAGUGCGGGGAUCGAACAGGAUUAGAUACCCGAGUA
rnacentral:rRNA from 1 species